rnacentral:tRNA from 1 species
AAGCCUUCUGGCGAUCUACACAAACAAGUCCACCGUGGACUUUGAAAAGCGCUUUCCUUUAUAAAAUUGAGCGUUUUGUAAGAGGAUGCCGGGGAAGGUUUUCCGGUUUAUCCCGGAGGGCUUGUAGCUCAGUUGGUUAGAGCGCGCGCUUGAUAAGCGUGAGGUCGGAGGUUCAAGUCCUCCCAGGCCCACCAAUUUAUCCAUUAUUUUCAUAAGUGCUUUUGAAAAAUAAGUACUUCUAAAAUAUCGCUUCUAAAAAUUGGCAUGCUUGUUGCUUUUGUGUGUGUGAUCCAAAGUUAAAGCAGUUUAAUGGCAAAAAAAGCAGUUCAAAUGCUAAAAUGCUAAAAGGUCAAAAUUUUGGGAAAGUGAUUUUUGCAGUGUCUAUUUGGUUGAUGUAAAUUUCGAAUAGUCAUGGACGUAAAUGCCCAUAUAAAACAUAUCGGUUAAAUUAUAUCACUUUGGGUCAUACGUUAUAAUACCUCCUUUAAUCGUUUUACCUGUUUUAGGGGCCGUAGCUCAGCUGGGAGAGCACCUGCUUUGCAAGCAGGGGGUCGUCGGUUCGAUCCCGUCCGGCUCCACCAUGAGGUCAUCAUCAUUGUGGUAAGAAC